rnacentral:rRNA from 1 species
GACGUGCUAAUCUGCGAUAAGCGUCGGUGAGGUGAUAUGAACCGUUAUAACCGGCGAUUUCCGAAUGGGGAAACCCAGUGUGUUUCGACACACUAUCAUUAACUGAAUCCAUAGGUUAAUGAGGCGAACCGGGGGAACUGAAACAUCUAAGUACCCCGAGGAAAAGAAAUCAACCGAGAUUCCCCCAGUAGCGGCGAGCGAACGGGGAGGAGCCCAGAGCCUGAAUCAGUGUGUGUGUUAGUGGAAGCGUCUGGAAAGGCGCGCGAUACAGGGUGACAGCCCCGUACACAAAAAUGCACAUACUGUGAGCUCGAUGAGUAGGGCGGGACACGUGGUAUCCUGUCUGAAUAUGGGGGGACCAUCCUCCAAGGCUAAAUACUCCUGACUGACCGAUAGUGAACCAGUACCGUGAGGGAAAGGCGAAAAGAACCCCGGCGAGGGGAGUGAAAAAGAACCUGAAACCGUGUACGUACAAGCAGUGGGAGCCUCUUAAUGGGGUGACUGCGUACCUUUUGUAUAAUGGGUCAGCGACUUAUAUUCUGUAGCAAGGUUAACCGAAUAGGGGAGCCGAAGGGAAACCGAGUCUUAACUGGGCGUUAAGUUGCAGGGUAUAGACCCGAAACCCGGUGAUCUAGCCAUGGGCAGGUUGAAGGUUGGGUAACACUAACUGGAGGACCGAACCGACUAAUGUUGAAAAAUUAGCGGAUGACUUGUGGCUGGGGGUGAAAGGCCAAUCAAACCGGGAGAUAGCUGGUUCUCCCCGAAAGCUAUUUAGGUAGCGCCUCGUGAAUUCAUCUCCGGGGGUAGAGCACUGUUUCGGCAAGGGGGUCAUCCCGACUUACCAACCCGAUGCAAACUGCGAAUACCGGAGAAUGUUAUCACGGGAGACACACGGCGGGUGCUAACGUCCGUCGUGAAGAGGGAAACAACCCAGACCGCCAGCUAAGGUCCCAAAGUCAUGGUUAAGUGGGAAACGAUGUGGGAAGGCCCAGACAGCCAGGAUGUUGGCUUAGAAGCAGCCAUCAUUUAAAGAAAGCGUAAUAGCUCACUGGUCGAGUCGGCCUGCGCGGAAGAUGUAACGGGGCUAAACCAUGCACCGAAGCUGCGGCAGCGACACUAUGUGUUGUUGGGUAGGGGAGCG